CACCUCUCAGGGUCAUACCUGGAGAGUUUCCAGAACUCUACCAGUCUUGACUAUGAGAGAGAGAGUCAAGCAGAGGCCUAUCCAUUCCAUUACUAGCUUGGCCAGUGGCUAGCGAGUGGAAAGCAAUCUGCUACAAGU
rnacentral:snoRNA from 1 species